AUGUUCAUAGAUUGCCAGUAACUGAAAUAGAAAGGCAGAUUUUAUUGCAACUAGGCAGCAUACAUAGAGCAAUAAACGAAUGCAUAAUUGCACCAAUUGAAUUAUGAGAAAUGACGCAUCUAAGAUUCUAAGCAUGUGAGAGUGUGAAAUUGAACCCAAAGAAAAAGGGACAUAUAAGUAAGCAGAAAAGCAUAGUCAAGAAUCAGAAAAGGGAUAAACCCAUAAAAUGAUAAGACCAAGAGUGGCAAUUAGGGGUACAGACCUUUAUUCCUUUAUCAUUGAUUAUGUUCAUUCAAGUGACAAGUUCCAAGUCUGAAUUACAUGCCACUUCUAUUCUCAUGCAAAUGUUUUGCUUUAGCAUGGGAAAUUGUCUGGAUUAUUAAUUAUUGGCAGAAUUUCAACUCAAAAGUCUGAUUCAUAAACAAGUUCAGGCUGCUAAUGGUAAGAUAAUGAACAUCUGCACAUGAAUGCUGAUACAUCAUUUUCACUGGACCAUUUAAGGAAACUUGAGCACAACAAAUCACAAUAAUACCGGAAAAUUUCCACUCCUGGAUUACUUUGAAAAGAGUAUUAAUCAGUCAUUCCACAUAUGAGCAAGAAACCACAAACCUGUCCAAUUCUGUAAGCAUCCAA
rnacentral:misc_RNA from 1 species